GAUGAAGAACGUAGCGAAAUGCGAUAAGUAAUGCGAAUUGCAGAAUUCCGUGAAUCAUCGAAUCUUUGAACGCACAUUGCGCCCCCUGGUAUUCCGGGGGGCAUGCCUGUCCGAGCGUCAUUGCAACCUUCAAGCGCGGCUUGUGUGUUGGGUCUCGUCCCCCGUGGACGGGCCCGAAAGGCAGUGGCGGCGUCCCGACAUGGUGCCCGAGCGUAUGGGAAUCCUCUUCCGCUCGAAUCGGCCCAUGCGGCGCUGGUCGUAACCAAAUUUUUUACCGGUUGACCUCGGAUCAGGUAGGGAUACCCGCUGAACUUAAGCAUAUCAAUAAGCGGAGGA
rnacentral:misc_RNA from 1 species